CCAAGAAUAUAACGCCUUUACCAGUAUCAAAUCCAUCAAGCUCAAUCAAUAAUUGGUUCAGAGUAGUUUCCCUUUCUUGAGUUGCCGCAUUAUAGAGGUGGUCAGUUGAUUCACUAAAUAUUCCUUUUAGUUCUAGAGCUAAAGUUCGCCAGUUUCCCUUUCUUGAGUUGCCGCAUUAUAGAGGUGGUCAGUUGAUUCACUAAAUAUUCCUUGACGCCUGUUUAUUAGAAUAAUAUUUUCAGAAACUAUAAUCACUGCACAUGUCUACAGGUCUUUUAAGUACAACAAUGACUAUUUCUUCGAAAAAUUAAUAUCUAGACAGCCAGAGAACAGAUUAGCACCGUCCACAAUGAAAUUAGUAUUUUCAGGUUCAAUAAUCCAAUUUUAAUAGUUCUGGGCUACGAUAGGAGAAACACCCAGAUGCUCAGCUCCAGAAUAUCCACGGGAUGAGCAAACCAUGGUUUAUAAUAAGCUAAAUCAGUAGAAGUUACACACAUGCACCAUUAUUCAUUUAGACAAACAACC
rnacentral:lncRNA from 1 species